rnacentral:rRNA from 1 species
GACGGGACCGCACAAGCGGUGGAUGAUGUGGAUUAAUUCGAUGCAACGCGUAAAACCUUACCUACCUUGACAUGUCCGGAAUCCCGAAGAGAUUUGGGAGUGCUCGCAAGAGAACCGGAACACAGGUGCUGCAUGGCUGUCGUCAGCUCGUGUCGUGAGAUGUUGGGUUAAGUCCCGCAACGAGCGCAACCCUUGUCAUUAGUUGCCAUCAUUUGGUUGGGCACUCUAAUGAGACUGCCGGUGACAAACCGGAGGAAGGUGGGGAUGACGUCAAGUCCUCAUGGCCCUUAUGGGUAGGGCUUCACACGUCAUACAAUAGGUCGGUACAGAGGGUUGCCGACCCGCGAGGGGGAGCUAAUCCCACAAAGCCGAUCGUAGUCCGGAUCGCAGUCUGCAACUCGACUGCGUGAAGUCGGAAUCGCUAGUAAUCGCGGAUCAGCAUGUCGCGGUGAAUACGUUCCCGGGUCUU